rnacentral:rRNA from 1 species
CAAUAGCGUAUAUUAACGUUGUUGCAGUUAAAAAGCUCGUAGUUGGAUUUCUGGAGGGAGCGUCGGCCCGUAUUUACGAGUGCGUGACGUCUCUGUCCAUCCUUGCGGGAAGGCACGGCAUUGAUUUGUUGUGUCGGAUCGCAUCAUUUACUGUGAAAAAAUUAGAGUGUUCAAAGCAGGCUUUCGCUUGAAUACAUUAGCAUGGAAUAAUAAGAUAGGACUUAGGUGCUAUUUUGUUGGUUGAGCCUAAAGUAAUGAUUAAUAGGGAUAGUUGGGGGCACCUGUAUUGCGUUGUCAGAGGUGAAAUUCUUGGAUUUACGCAAGACAAACAGCUGCGAAAGCGUCUGCCAAGGAUGUUUUCAUUAA